GAUCAUGGCUCAGAUUGAACGCUGGCGGCAUGCCUUACACAUGCAAGUCGAACGGUAACAGGUCUUCGGACGCUGACGAGUGGCGAACGGGUGAGUAAUACAUCGGAACGUGCCCAGUCGUGGGGGAUAACUACUCGAAAGAGUAGCUAAUACCGCAUACGAUCUGAGGAUGAAAGCGGGGGACCUUCGGGCCGUCGCGCGAUUGGAGCGGCCGAUGGCAGAUUAGGUAGUUGGUGGGAUAAAAG
rnacentral:rRNA from 1 species